rnacentral:lncRNA from 1 species
AUGCUAGAGCACUACUGCCUCCUUAGAGCCCUUGAAACACAAGGGUCUGGAGGCAUGUGCUAUACCGUACAACUAUCCCAGCGGCAUCCUCUAAAGAGAGGAAGCGCUAGGAAUGCAUGGGGCUAAUAACAUGUAGGACCACAUCUCUCAGAAAACCUAGGACUGUGUCUGUGUUAAAAAGCGGUUCUGGGCCGAGGAACAUUACUGGAUGGAGAGGGAUGUGCUGUCUGUAAGCUAAGGAAAAAUGUUUCGUUCUUUCAAAUUCGGCUUCGCGACACUCCAGACGGACGUGGAGCACGGUCAGCCUCUCCCCGCAUCUACCACAGGUUGGAGGCUCACUUCCGGAAUCUGUUGUCCACACAUUUGUAAGCAAGGAUCCGGAACUAGGCCUCUCUUCCUUGUAAACAGCACACAAGAACUUUUUUGAGGAUUGAUUUUAAAACCAUUUUUAUCUGCCCACCCUGACACCUUGUUCAAGCCAUGCUGUACCUGUCUCUCGCAUACUGCGAGGUUACAGGAUUUGAAGCCUAUUUGAAUGUCGUCCACAUAGACGGAAUACAAGAUGGCUGGUGGUAAGGACGCACGAAGCGUUGUCAUUUUAACAAUAAAAAGUGUGCAACUGA